rnacentral:lncRNA from 1 species
GGCAUAUGGAAGUUCCCAGCCCAGGGAUUGAAUGAGACACAGCUGCAACCUAUGCCACAGCUGCAGCAAUGUCAGAUCUUUCUAACCCACUGCACCAGGCUGGGGAUCAAACCCAUACCUCUGCAAGUGACUCAGGAGACUAAGUCAGAUUCUUAACCCCCUGUGGCAUGGUCGGAUGCCCAUUUAGUUCUUCUUUAGAUCUUCUAUUUCUUUGCUAAAGCUUUCUGGUUUUUUCAGUUACUUCAAGCAUAUGCAUAAUUUUUGUUAGGGCAUUUUUAUUAUGGCUGCUUUAAAAUAGUUUUCAGGUUAUCCUGACAUCUCUGUCCUUUAGACGGUAGCAGCUACGGAUGGUCUUUUUUCAUUCAGUUUGAGAUCUUCUCUGUUCUUGGUAUGAAGAGUGAUUUUGAAUGACAUGAACAUUUAAAAAUUAUUUUAUGGGACUCUGGAUCUUAUUUAUUUAUGUAUUGCUUGACGUGGGAUCCCAAGUCCCAGACCGGGGGAUCCAGUUGGGAUGCAGCAGUGAAUGCGCUGAAUCCUAGCCACUAGACCACCAGGGAACUCCCUAUGGAUGUUAUUUAAGCCUUCUGUGUCAGCUGGCUUUUCCUGCCACUGCUCUGGCAGGAAAAGGGGAGGUGCUUCCCCUUUCCUGGCAGGUGGAGGUAGAAGUUCAAGUUUCCUCUUCAGCCUCUGUUGACGACUGAGGGCUGAGGGUGGGAGUUCCACUGCCUCACGUGGUCUCCACUGCCACCUCAGCGAUGAUGGCCUGACUGCUGCAGAAGUGAGUGGAAUUCUGACUCUCAAGGACACCACCCCAGCAGGGAGGGGGAGGGAGGCCGAAUUCCUGCCAAUCUGGCUGGAAGUCAGGUUUCCACGUGGUAUCCUGGAGUGGACCCUGCGUGUGGGAGGCCUCAUUACCAGCUGGCUGGGGUGAAAGUCCCCACUCCCUACCUGGCCCUCUCCGCAACCACCCUGGCAGGGAUGUUGAGUGCCUGUGAUUGGCCUGGGGAGAGUGGAAAGCUAGGCUCACCACUUAGCCUUCGCUGGUGUGGGUGUGGGUGGGGCCACAGCUUUUGUGUAAUAUUUGGCUGGAAUCGAGUGGUUCUUUCUGAAGUUUUCUGCCUUGUCAGGCUGCCCCUUUCCUGGGGAGAAAGGCAGGCCUUCGUUGGGGCUGGGUCUGCAGUGUCUCCAGGUUGCGGCCUUCCUUACCUCCAAGCCUGGGACACUCAGGGCAAAAAGAAAAGCCAGGGAAGCCCAUUGCUGUGCUGUUUGUUCCUUGGGUCCUGAGGUCCCUGGCCAUUCUGCCUUCUCUUCACCUUCCUCUUCUUAACAUUUCUUUGUCUGUGGUUUCCAGGGCUUUAGUUGCUGUAUUUAGCAGGAGGAAUAGGAAAAAGCACAUCGACUCUGUUUUCCCAGGAGCAGAGAUCUCUCAGCCAGAAAAGGAGGAUUUACGGGAAAGCUACCGAGGUACGUCAUUCAGUCAAAGGAAUGGUUGGGCAGCCGGCCUGCAGGAGGAGACAGGCACAGCUGGGCCUCAGGAAUUUCUGGAACUGGCGCCGGGGUGCUGGAGGCCCUUGCUUGUCUCGACUCGUCCUCCUCGUGUGCAUCAGUCGCAUUCUCUCUCUCUCUCCACGUGAAAUUCGAGGAAUGAAUGCGGCCACCUCAUGCAUCAAAAUUUCACAUCUCGUGGCUCCUCCAGCAGAAGGAGCCAGACUUCCUGAGCUCCUGUUUGACCAAACGUUCGGGAAGAUCUUCCUUUGGCCCGGCUUGGGCCAGGUGUGCUCCUGGACCCACUGACUCCGGUCGGGUCAGGGAGUGUCUCUAAGGACCUGGCAGCUUCUGGGGGGUCACAAGGAUGCAGAGGAAUGCCUCUCGGCAAAAUGGAGGGUGCUGGAAAGAUAACACGUUGGUUUAUUCUUAUUCACUUGUC